UUCAGAAACUAAACAAAGAAAAAAAUUUCUAGCCCUCAAAAGAUUUCCUUGUCUUUUUCCAUACUCCCUCAAGCUUCCUGGAGACAGAUGAGAGGAGGACCAGGGGAGUCCCUGAAGAAUCCACCAGACUCUGGAUGCCCAGAGGAAGCACUAAGGGAAAGUCAGGAAGGAUCUCAGCAAAUCUCACUGCUGUAUUGGAAUUAGAUUUAAAUCCUUGUUUGAAUCGCAGAAGAGAGAAUUGGUGAUGAAAGAAAUGUUGGCAAUCGUCCUUUUUUGAGCUGCUGGAGUGAAGCAGGAUUGCCCCUGGGAUCCUGGAGAUAAGAACAAGAGAAUAGCACAAUAGACAAGUGAACCAAAGCCCGGCUAAAGCAAGGACUACAUCUCAGAGAAGCACUGAAGAUGUCACUUUUGCCAGGCAAUUCCAGGCUAAUCCAGAACAGCAAAUCAAUACCACAAAGGUUAUGUUAUGCCUCCUUUUCCUGAACAGCAAGCUGUUGAAGUUUUGCUUUUUAUAAAUGGCUCAUUAUAUUAAUAAAGAAGUCACAUAUUGUCUAUCUCUCCGAUCACUGUGCCUUUAGGAUUUUUCUCCCUUCAUGCAGUAUAGUGGCUCUUGAAGCUACUGGUUGGAAGGAAGUUUGUUUUAUGGAAAAAAAUUCCAGAAAUUUACAGAUGAUUUCAUGUAUAUGGCAUCUUUGUUAUGUUAGGAUUGAAAAUACUCCCCCACAGUUACUGAUGAGGGUUCUCAGCUUUUGGAAAUGCCAUUCAGUUUUUCAUUUUUUAUGCUAAGCAAGGAAUGUCAUAGAACAAUAAAAAUUAAGCUGCUUACAGAAAA